rnacentral:rRNA from 1 species
UACGGAGGGGGCUAGCGUUGUUCGGAAUUACUGGGCGUAAAGCGCGCGUAGGCGGCUACUUAAGUCGGAUGUGAAAGCCCUUGGCUCAACUGAGGAAGUGCACCCGAAACUGAGUGGCUUGAGUACUAAAGAGGGUCGCGGAAUUCCCGGUGUAGAGGUGAAAUUCGUAGAUAUCGGGAGGAACACCGGUGGCGAAGGCGGCGACCUGGGUAGAUACUGACGCUGAGGCGCGAAAGCGUGGGGAGCAAACAGG